GACGAACUGUUCUAACGUUAUUCGGAAUCACUGGGCUUAAAGGGCGCGUAGGCGGCCUGUUAAGUCCGAUGUUAAAGACUGGGGUUCAACCCCAGCAUUGCGUUGGAUACUGGCAGGCUUGACGGUUGGAGAGGCGAGCGGAAUUACCAGUGUAGCGGUGAAAUGCGUAGAUACUGGUAGGAACACCCAUUGCGAAGGCAGCUCGCUGGACAACACGUGACGCUGAGGCGCGAAAGUGUGGGGAGCAAACCGGAUUAGAUACCCCCGUAGUCCCUGA
rnacentral:rRNA from 1 species